rnacentral:sRNA from 1 species
UGUAUCGGAAGCCUGACGAGGAUGAGAACCUCCGGGGGCAAGAGGUUCGACUCGAGCGCAGCGAGAGAACGUUGCGUCAGCAACGGC